CCGUCGGCACAGUUCAGACAGAGCAGUUCCUUGGGUCCUUCUCAGCCUGUGGCAGAAGAGAAUUGCGGAGUUUUUAAUCAUUCAGAGGGAAUCCUCCAGCUUGCCCUGCCUCUCCCAGAAGACCGGACCCAGGGUCUUCUGCUAAGUUGCCCAGGCUGUCCUCAAACUUGAGAUUCUCUUUCCUCAGCCUCUGGAGUUGCUGGAAUUACAGAUUCUUCACCAUGUAGUCAGAGGAUGUAGAAUGUUAGCAGCAACAAGAAGAUCAUGACUGUCAGACAGAGACCGUGAAUAAACACGUGAAGCUGAGUCCCUGCCUAUUCAACUUUGGACAUGUAGUUUUUAUUUUUAAGUCAUUUUUCCAGAAAAUGUAUAAGCAUUUUGUAUCACAUUCAUCCUGAUGAUGAAGACUUCGCCUCUCUUUAACAAGUAACCAAUAGAGAUGUCUAUCUUUGAUUACUUACCAUCUGUCCCUUCACUCAUGAAUUCAUUUUUGCAUAAAUGAAGGUUGUAUAUGAAUACUGAUAUAAUGGAAAACCUUAUCAGAAAUCAAAAGAAGAACCCAGAUGCCAACACCUUCAUGGAGCUCCAAACUCAUCAAACUCCAUCACUAGUGUUGAGAUAAAAAAAAAAAAUGGAUAAGUCACUCACUGGAAGAUGGAUGUUUUUCUUUUCAUGGCAAAGCCCAGUAGUGACCACAAAAGAAUUUUCACAUUUACCUUGUGGGAAUAAUCUGUAUCUCCAGCCAGGGAAGAACUGGAAUGGGAUCUUUCUGCCAUGCAACCAGCACAUGAGCUUCAUAAUAGAGGUUCAAAGCAUAAAAAUUAACUAGUGAGUUUUAAAAUUAAAGAGACAUAAUUCUCAUUACCUUCAAUGCCCAGCUCCAGAGAUGGCUCCUCCUAGCUCCCGCCUCCAGCAUGGGGCUCUUGCCUCCAGCCACCUAAUUCGGUGGCAAGAUUAACACAAUAGGCCAGUGACAGAGAGAACAUGCCAGGGAGUGAGCUUUUAUUGGGGAACAAUAAAUUCAAGGGAAAAUUCCAUCCAAUGAAGUUCGAGGUGGGCAGCAUUCCAAGGUCAGGGUCAGUGAUUGGUCUUCAGGUCAGUGGUCAGGGACACCUCCACAUGGACAAGCCCUCGCACCUGGAACAGGGCGAGGAAGGCUCUGACAAAACUGUGUCUGAGCGCCUCUCACCCAGUCAGGGAGAUAACUCAAAUCACAUGCGAGAAUGGCUUCCCACAGAUCUUCAAAUUGAAAUAAUGCACACCUCAUUCCAACGUCAUAAGCUCAGAAACUGAAAAUAGUUCUAUGAUUAAAGGAACUGGUUGGAGCCAUUGUGCUAAGGGCUGAUGGCCACUGCUUACCCGUAGAGUCUGUAAUCAAUGAAAUAAUGAAAACAACACAGAAGUAGUUAUCAACUGUGUAGUAGAGUUACUUUCCCGAAAACUCUAUCCCUUGCUCCUUUCUUUAAAACAAAGGGAGGAAAAUGCUCAGAAUGGGAACUUGUAUACUAUCAGAGAAUGAGAUUUGUUAAAGUUUUAUGUUUUUGAAUUUUGUUUGCUUGUUUUAUUUUGUUCCUACCUUAUUACAAAAUUAUAGCCAAGUAUGUUACAGUUUUACUUUGGAAAAACAUUUUACGUAUUUCCUUUAAAUAGAAUAUUCCUUGAGUAUUGUUCCUUAUUAACAUUUAUUUCUCCAACUUCUCAUUGGAAGAAUUAUUCAGAUUUUUCUUAGACAAGCAAAGAACCAGGAUGAAUACUUGUAUCAUCAAAAAGAGUUGUCCAAGUUUGUGGGGGAAGAGGAGCAUUCUCAGGUCUCAUGAGGGUAGGGGAGCUCCUUUCUUCCAGCUUUACCUGUGUCUACUGCUUGGAAAACUCUAGAUGAAAUAGCAAAGAAUCACUAUACAGACAGGGAACUACCAACACACCAAAGAUUUACAUUACCAGGAAAUCUGUAGACUUUAUUGACUCUCAGCAACCGUGGUGGUGUCGUCAUUGAAUGUAUAUCAAUACUCACUAUAGACAGAAGAACAGCGAGGUCUCUCUAAAGCCUUAAGUUGUGGGAGUCUUUUAGGGACCUUUCCAAGACCUAAAGGCAGAGAUGCAGUUAUCCUGCCUAAAUUUUUUCUAUCCCUGUAGAAUAUGAUGUGUUGUGGAUAUUUAAUAUAAAAUGAAGGGUUGAAUAAAAUUUAUCAUUUUAUCUAGAAAACAGGAAAGAUAUGUUAAGUUAGCAAUUUGUUUUGCAGUAAGGAACAUAGUAACUAAACCCAUUCUGUUUGCAACCUUUUCUGAUUGACACAGCUGGCUUAAGAGAGAAUGUGAGGUCAAGCGAAACACAAAAUUAUGUAGACUAUUAUUAGAUGAAGUAUUUGUCUUCUACUCCUCAGAAAUAAAAACAUCAAGGCAUUUUUCUGGUGUAAAUGUAGAUGCUAAAAUUUUUGAUAGAGUCUUAAAACAACCUUCUUUACUAUAUCCCCAAUCUUCCAAAAUACACAAAUGCCCAGAAAGACACAUACAACCAAAAAUACUUGUGAUAUCUUUUGCCAUGCCUAGACUAUACAUUUCAGUUCUAAGGAUGUCCAUUUUCCUGUGGGAGCUCACCUACCCCAGCAUCUGCUUAAUUUCUUGAUAGCUCAUCCUCCUAUAAGUUGCAAAUGGCACAGAUCUACAUGGUGGUCCUCACAUAAUCUCUUAUAAAGUGAUAUUCAUUGGUGAAUUACUGAAAUGACUUGCUUUCCUGAAAAAAUAAACCAUGGUAGUUUGUAAUUCCAAUGAUAUAACCUCAAAACUUUCAUUUUCAAGGAAUCUUUUCAAACAAUUUUGUAGCCUUACAAGCUACCCACUCUUCUAUGACUUAUCUUGCUUCAAACUUAGAACUGUUUGUCUCUUUUGAUGAUUUUGAAUUAUACUGAUCUUUUAAUAUUCCAAAUUUUUAGAAAAAAGUUUAUAAGGUUUUACCAUUGUCACAGAGUCUUGUUGUUCAGUCUUCAUAUUUUAAAAUAAUCUAACAAAUGAGACAUUCUGGAAGAGUAUCUAUUUUAGCUGGUGUAGUGAAAUUUUUCCUUAGCAGAACUAAGGUAUGACAAACUUCUGCAGUCACGUGUACUUUUGUGCACUUAAGCAAUUUACCUUCCUUCAAGCAUUUUCUAUGAAAAUAAUUUUAAUUAAUGAUUAGAAUAACCAUUGUUGCAAUUUAUUUUAUUCUUUACAUGUAUUUAAAUAUCACUUUGUUGCAAUUUAUUUUAUUCUUUACAUGUAUGUAAAUAUCACAUUAUAAUAAUUAUUUUCAUCUUCCUCUUUCAAAUAUAACUAAAAAGAUCAUUAAUACAGGAAUGAUGUAUAGUUUUUAUGGUCAUUGUCAUUCUUAGAAUACAUCUUAUUUCAAUUGUUUAAAAUGAAAUUUUAGAUUAUUCUUAGCUUUUAGAGUUUGAUUUAAAAUAUCAGUGUUAAACAUUUCUUCCCUUUGCUACCUUUUAAAACUUUUUUUUAACAAUUUUUAAGUGUAGUGCAGUAUAAAAGUAGUCAAAAUAGAAAAGCAAAAAUGCACCAGAGCAAAUGAACACUAACCAAUUUUUAUCACUAUUUAUGUAUUAAAUCCACAUGUUGGAUUGUACUUCUGAAAUGUCAAGAGCUCUUUAUUUAAACAUUCCAAAAAUUAUUUUCUUAUAAUUCAGAAUGUUGGCAAAAAUGUAUAAGUAUACAUGUUGUCAUAGGCAUUAGAGAUAUUUUUUUAGAAAAUAAAUAUUGAAGUAUCUUUUCUGUGUAUAUAUUUAUUAUCACCCUUAAACACAAGUGAUAAAAUUCUGUGGCAUGGUACAGAGUCUAGCACUAAUUGUGAAAAUACCAUGAGCAUUAAUACCUUAUGGGCUCUAGUACAUCACAGAGAGUCAGUCUGGGUGGUUUGUCACAGCAUGAUGACUUUCACACCAUGGGGAACAGAGCCCUUAAGAAUGACUUCCUGCUGAAGUAACCACUCUAGGUGAUCUUAUGAAAUUUCAUAAGACCUUGCUAAAGCAACAGACAAGGAAGAAAAUAAUAGAAGAGAAGUGAGCUGACAGAGCUUUUGUAAGAUGACAAGAACACCCGGGGAGUGUAGGAUGUAACUUGAAGGAUUUAGGGAAGACAAUGUUGCACAGGACUGGAACUAUUUAAAUAGCAGGGGGGAAUGCAGCUUUAGAAAGUUAACGGAUUUUUAUCUUUUUUAUUGUGACCAUAGCCAAUCCCUACUUUUUAUGUCUUGUAAGACCUGGGGAAAUAGCUGUAUAAAUUAAACUUCUAACUUGUAUACAUCAAAGUGAAAAUAUCUUCCCUAUAAUAUUCAUAAAUAAACAAAGACUUUGAACAAAAUGUCUAAUAAUUUGGCUGAUUUGGGCUCAGCUUCACCAAAUAACUGUGUUGAGGGCAAAUCUUGGAUGAAAACCAUUUAGGAUGAAAAGAAGUACAAUAUUGUUUAGAAUAUAGAUAUUUACUUAUAAAAAUUUUAAUUGAUAAAUGCAUACAUUGUUUAAUUUUAUAUGUGAAACACAAUUAUAUAAUCAGUUGGGGAGCUAACCAACAGAAUAUUACAAUUGUAGAACCUCAUUUUGCCACCUUCAAAUACUAGUCAACAAACCAAACACAUGGAUCCUGAAAUUUCCAUCAUAAUAGACUAGUUUUCCCUGUUUUUGAAUUUUAUGUGAGUGGACUUUUAUAAUUUGUGGUUUUUCAAUUUGUUUUCUUUUGCUCAAUGUAUGUUUAUUAGAUUCAUCAAUGCAUUAGUAUUUUAUUUUCUCACUUGGAUAGUAUUUUGAAGUUGUUCAAUUAUUCUCCUUGGUUGAAAAGUUAUUUCUAUGUUCUGUAUUAGAGUGCUUUUUCAGAUGUAUACAUUGUGAAAUUCUUCUUCCUAUCUUGCCUUUAUAUUUGAAUUUCUUAACAUUGGUUUUUAAUGUUAUGAAUGGUUUGAUUUUUUUGAAAGUAUUUAAUUUUUAGGUGGAGAUAGACACAACACAAUGCCUUUAUUUUUUGUGGUGCUAAGGAUGGAACCUGGGUCCCGCCUAUGCGAGUCAUCUGAAUUACCACUUGGAUGGCAAAAUCCUCAACUCAAUCUGCUUUGUUUGGAAUUUUCAGUUAAUAAGACUUUAUCUUCUUAAAUUCCUUGAUCCAACUCCUACAUAAUAAAAGGAAAGAGAGAAAUGAUGCAGAUGAAGAGGAGGAGGAAUGAAAUGAAGGAGAUUCAAGGACAAGGAGAGGGUAACAGUUGCCACAGCGAUGGAUGUGAAGACGUGCUUUUAAACUAAAUUAUCAAAAUAGUACAAAACUGAAAGUAUAUUAUAGACAUAUGUCUAAGUAAAAUAAAUACAACUCUUAUUUAUUCCAUUUUCUAUAUUACAUGCAAUUCUUAUGUUUUUAAGUGUAAGUGUAUUAUAGCAAGAUAUAUUCUAGAUAAUAUAUUCAUGAUAUUUGUGUUAAAUUAUAGGUAUAGAAAAUUAGGUAUGUAUACUCUAUCUCUUAUGUAAGUAACUACCUUAUUAGGCUGCAUUUGGUUUUGUUUUGGUGAUCAUAAUGAUAUAUGUCUAAGAAAAUAAAGCACUAUAAUGUACCAAAGGUACAUAUUGAGUUAUAGUUAUACCUUCUUGAGUGUGUAGCUACAUGAGAAAAGACUCCAUAUCAUGUGUUUAGUCUUAGACUCAUUCUCAGCUGCAAACUAUGAAUCAAAAAAUAUCUGGAAUUAGAAAGAGAAUUGUACAUCAUCAUUAUUAAGUAUUUGCCAUAAAGCACAUUUCUUAGUUUCUCCUAUACUAUAAUGUUUUUCUCCACCUUCCAAUUUUACCAAAACCAAAAAUAUUAGCAGCCUUCCCAGAACAUUUUGAAGUAAUAAAGAAAAUUGUUACAUUUCAUGUCCUGCACAAUAUUUUACUUUUUUUAGUUUCAUUUUCAGUGUUAUAGAAAAAGUUUAUUGUCUAGCUGUUUACUCUUGUUGUUGCAGUUAAAAUUGUUUUCUGUUUUUUACAUGCACCGACUGCCUGGAAUGUGCUAAGCAACAUAGAGAAUCCAUUCACUGCCUGGCGACUGUUUAAAGAGCUGCUUAGGGAGGCAGCGAGCUAACACAUUUUGUCUGAUUGAGUUAUGGUUUUUUAAGUUUCCAAGGACAUAUUGUUAAUUAAUAUUUUAUCCCUGCAGUUAAUGCCAUAUAAAUCACUUCAUUUAUCCAUUCAUUUUGAAACCAUAACUGAGAAGUCAGACAAUAAAAUGCAAACAAUAAAUACUUGUAUGAAGCUAUGUUACAGAAUGGAAAAGAAAGAUGAUAGAACUCAGGUAAUAAGCCUUCAUGAUUUUUAUUCUUAGUCUUAGAAGAUAUUAGUCAUAUAAAGGAGAGUCAAAGGUGGCAUCAGGCAGAGGGGAAAGCAUUUAUAUUAGCAAUAUGCUUUAACAAAAUAAUGUCCCAGUAGAAGGCACAAGGGCGAUUUGGGUGAGUCUGAAUAUACACAUGUGAAAGAUAUUGCUGAGAGAGAAUAUAUUUUGGCUUAUCAGUUAGAUUUCAUUUUGAAAAUGAGAAUAUAGUAAAGUUUCUUUUAAUCAUGAACAAUUAGAUCAAAUAUACAAUAUACACCCACUCAUUUCAGUUAUUUAUUUAUUUUUUCAAAUGACUGAUCUUGGAAAAAACUUCUCCUCUUCUUCCACUUUCCCUUCCACUCCCCAUCCCUGCCUGUUCUUCUUCUCAAUGCUGAUUUAAUCCAUGGUUUUGUGCAUGCUAGGUAAGUGCACCACCACUAAGUCAUCACACACUCCAGCCCAGGGAAUUAUUAUAAGGUUUGACUUUACACACCUGUGGGAGCUGGUGAAGAAAUCUAUGAAAAUAUGCUACUGGUGUAUCAGGUGGUGAGUCAAUAGUUGCCAUAAAUGAGCAGCACCAUGUAAUAACAAAAGUGUUGGUGGAAGAGGAGAGAGUGGGGCCAAUUAGGACCUGGGUAGUGUAUCAGUGCCUUCAACCCUGAUGACACAGGUGAACUAGAGAAGAAGCCAGUGCUGUUUUACACAGAACUCCAAAUAAGUCUGAUCCUUAACUUGGAGAAAAUAAAUCUAGUGGGGGCCAACGGAGUUUCAGUAAAACUUACUUUCAAUCCCUGCAGUAAAAAGUUGAGCCAACAGAUCAGUGACAAUUAUUUUACUAAACAGCAUGAUGUCUGCCACAUAAUUUAUGCCUUCCAGAUCUUCUGCAGUUUUACUUAGGACUAACCUAAUCUAGAGAUUGCCAGGAAACACAGUAACAUUUAGUUCCAACUUAGCUUAGGACUGAUAUAAAAUUUUCACUAUCUGCUGCUUGUCCACACAGAAUCCAUACACAAUUCCUUUAGUCAUGUUUAACCUCCAAAGACAAGGCAAAUGCAAUAAAACAAACUUCCAUUUCACGUGAAGUAACUAUUACUUGAUACAACCAAAAAUAUGCCAUCCUUCUUUCCAAAGGAAAAAACAGGGUCCAUGUACCAUUGUUUAUCUUAGAGUGAUGUUUUCUCCUCUAAAUCAAUUAUUCCCCUCUCUGUAACCCCUGUAACUCACAUACUGAGGUGUAUGUUCAACCAUUAUCAAUGUAACUUGUGUUGUGUGAUAAGAGAGGGAAGAAAGACUAAAAGUAUCAGUUAUUAUGUAAAGAAUUAGGAAUAAAUACUCCUAACAACUGCAGGCUCCAUUUGUGAAACUUGUUCCUGGAAUAAUAUUUGCUAUUUAUAUACUUUUUUUUCCUUCACUCCACACUCCCUUCUCCCUCAAGAAUUAACCUCCAAAUGAUCAGGAUGCCUUCUAUGGUAGAGUGACCCUAAAUAUUUAUUCCUAUGGUAUAUAGAGGGACCCUUUGUAGUCAUGGUUUUAGUAUACUACCAUAUUUUUUUUUUGGCAUUCUUCACUUACAGAGGUGGAGCUUAAUUUCUCCUGAGUGUGGACUGAACUUAAUGAUUCACAUCCAAUGAAUAAAUAUAGUAGAAUUGAACACAUGCCACUACCAUGAUGAGGUUAUAAAGCAUUGUAGCUUUCCAUGUGUAGGCUUUAUUCUCUGUAAUAUAAUAUCUUCCUGUGAAAGAAUUCAUAUCAUCAUUAGACUAUGGAGAGGCCCACAUGCUGAGAAAAUGAAACCUCUUGCCAAAAGCCACAUUAAGGAGCUCAGAAGCAGAUGCACUAAUACACAUGCAAAUAAUGCUGUUUGAAUCAACAUAUGCAACUUCAUAAAAGGGCCAAAAUAGACAGCCCCUGCUCAACCACUCUCAGAAAUUUAAGUUGAAAAAGUUAAGUUACUGUUUAUUGUUUUGUACUGCAAAAUUUUGGAAUAGAUUUUAAUGCAUAAAUAGAUAACAAAUAUCAAUUUUUGUACCUGAAGAUGGGUGUUGCCAUAACUGAUACUGCCAGUUAUCAAUGAUGAGUCCUGCUUCCCAACAUGUUGUAGAUUCAACAUUAUAGAGAAGGCAGCCGAGGCAAGCAUAUAAAUCAGGGUUUACUUAAAAAGGGGUAACAUAGACUUCUCCCAGGUGGGAGAAGGGGGCCAUUGCUGGUACCCUGGUAUUCCCAAGAAGCAAGGUAUUGUGCCCUUUUUAUAUGUUAUAGGCUUCCUUUGUUCUCCUGCCCUCUUCUGUUAUCUUUCUCCUUCCUGUGUACAUGACUAGGCUCAGGAAUGCUUGGUGGGAUGGCCCAAAGGUGGGAAACAGGUGGGCUGAAGGGAGAAGGGCAGGAUGGAGUAGCCAAAGACACAUUAACAACUUUAUAGCUCCUGUUAGGGAAGGGCAAUUCCUGGGACAGGUUACCUUGGCAACAGGUAGAAGCAGGGGAAGGUUCUCAAUAAGGGUGGAAGAAGGGCUCUGAAGGAAUUAGCAUUUUAAUCCCACAGGGGACAGUCUCCAAUUUCCCAAACUUCACUCAAAAUUGGCCUUCUUGAUCUGACCUGACUCGAUUUACCUAUCUAUACUGACUGCCUGUCUAAUUCUGGCUUCAUAACUAUAAGUUAAACAUGUGAAUGACUUUGAAAUAUGUGAAUGACUUUGAAACUACAGUGGAAUUUGAAGAAAGUUUAUUGAAAGCUUAGAAUCCUUCAAAAUUCCAUUUGUAGAGAUUUGGACUUUGAAGAUUGUUUAAAGAAAAUGUUAUCAGAAAUUGAAGAAUAAAAGACCUUCAUCAUGCUGUCACAUAAAGUUUAGCAACAUACACCAGCAAUUACAUGGAAAGCAGAAAAUAUAAUUAAUGAACUAGGUGAUCUAGACUCAAAGUUUUUUAGUUGAGAGGUAUGACCUGAUUUCAUCUUGCAGCUUUGAGUAAUUCAAGAGAACAGAGAUCAACUAUGAUGAAAGACACAGCAGCAGAGUUUAAAUACUAAGAUGCCAGACAUGGCUAAUUUUGAAUUUUCUUAGCCUUUUCAGAAUACAUACGAUGUUUAAAUUAAGAAAUGAUUCUGAAGCAAAGAUCAAAUUUAGGCACUGAAAGAAAACUGUACUCCAAGGAUGCAACUAAGAUUAUGUCUAUAAUAUAUUUUAUUAAGCCUUCAAAAAGAUCAAAGGUAGUAGCUCAGAAUAUGUUUCAGAAAGACGAAAACCCUUCUAAAGAAAUUAAGAGUAUACCUCCCAGAUUUUCUCAAUCAAAGAAGAGUGCUUCUUGGAAACUUAAGUAUCUGGGCUGAUUCACUAAGACCACAGGUGAGAAGGGCUUACUUUGAAUAGAUAUGUGGUUAUAUUUUAUUUUAUCUAAUGAAGUAAAACCUAAAAUGACUCAAAAGAUAAUGAAAAUAUUUCAAGAGAGUUAUAUUGAAAGUACUGCUGUAUUGGACUUACAAAAUGAGUACAAAAUGAAGGAAGAGUCUUUUGCAACCUUGUAUCUGUCAUCAAGAACUAAGAAAACUACUGAGAUGUCAGUGUUUGCUACUUUUCAUGAAAAGGAAAGAAUGAUGGGGAGAGCAGAACUAUGAGACCAGAAUACAGAGCUGUGAUCUAUGAGCCCAAAUCAUAGAACCAGGCCACAUUUCAGAAAUGUUGUAAUUUUCACCCUCUGCCCAUCCCACCAUUGUGUAAAGAGAUAGAUUACUUGUCUUGUUAGUGUCACGGGUGUUCAGGUUAAGAGACUUUUUAUUCUUCUUUGAAGAAUUUGAAACUUGAUUUACUACUGGCUGAUAGCCUUGAACUUUUCAAUUAUUGAUUAGUAACCAUGAACUUGUCUUGGCUCAGUCCUACACUGUAUUAAGUGAAACUACUGGAAUGCCUAAAGCAUUUUUAAGCCCUUUUAACUCAGUAUACAAAUUCUAUUUCCUGCAAUAAUCUUGUUAGGCUUGAUUUCAUGCUUUGUUUUAAAGAGUUGAGAAUAGGUCUGAUUCUAGGGCAUUACCUUUACUCCAAAAGCUUUGAAGAUUAUUUUAGUUAGAUGCCAGAGUUUGUACUAAAAUAUUAAGAAGAUCUUUCUAUUCUGGAAAGAUCAGAAUUUAAAUAUUCCUGGCAAUGAUUUAAAUGAAUUUUUUCCUAUCUUGAAAAACCUCUAGUAUCUUCGUAAUCCCUUUGAUCCAUGCACAGCCCUGUAGUAAUCACUACUUGAUAAACCUUGGAAGGGCUUCAUGAUAUGUACAACCUGUGUUCUGCCACAAACUCCCAUGUGGUUCUCAAUUCCCAUCACCUUUAGCUUCUUCUUCUCUAUGAUUGCAUCUCACAGAUGCCAGUCACUUCAAUUGACUUAAUACCAGAUCACUGCCUCUGUGCACGGAGAGAGCAGUGUACACUGCUCAGGCACUGUCGACUGAUCUUUUAUGGACUUUGAAUGCUGUGGUUUGAAUGUUUUUGUGACCUCCCCUUCCACCUUCUGUACUGUGAGAUUAGGGUUUCCUCUAGAGGUUGCAACAUUCAAGAUAUCUUGGAAGCAGAGUACCCUCUAGACAACCAAACCUACCAGUGUCUUGCUCUUGGAUUACCAUCCCCAGAACUGUGAGAAAUUUCUAUUAUUCAUAACUGACCAAAUAUAUGACAUUUCAUUAUAGCAGCACAAGUGGACUAAGACACUGAGUGAUUGUUCAAAAACAGAGUAGUAAACUUUAGGGUGUUCUUAAGAUUAAGUCAUGAGUUUCCUUUCUCUCAUUGUUUUGUGCUGCCUGUUGUCCCUUGUGUGAAAAACAGUGGCUGAAAUAUGUUUUUCCAGUAUUAUAUGUUUAUGGGGAGAGUGAUGCUCUGUUACCAAUGAUCUAUCAUGACCAGAAUAAAUAUAUAUUUUAAAAUUUGCAUAAGAGCUGGAAUAAGUUCCAUAUAGUUAUAAUUGGUUCUUAAGUUUGUGCUCUUUCUGCCUCUUCCUAUAAGGUAAAUUAGGUGGUUUGUUCUAUCUCCCAUAAUUUAGAUCUAACUGGUUGCAUGUGCUAUCAUAUAGUUUAUAUGAGCCUCUGUCCAUACAGAGUUAAAUCUUGGUUAAUCUUGGAGUCCAUUCUUUCAGGAACAUGACUCCAAGGGCAACAUUUUGUUUUAUCCUCUGUAAGUAUGUGAUGUCCAGCUGUUUCUCUUUUUGAUGUUACUAGGCUUUGUUGUUCUAUGUCUAGAUCCAUUAAGAGUUAUACAGUGAUGCUAUUGUAAUUUCAUCAUUCAUUUUUAAGUUUAAAUAAAAGAAAAAUUUCCUGA